rnacentral:lncRNA from 1 species
UUUUUUUUUUGAUAAAUUCUUGAAUCAGAACUUACUCCAAGUAAAAACAUGGUUUCUUUGCCCAUACAACAGUUGGAUCGGAAAAUAUCUCCCAAUUUGUAUAUAUGAACACCGGGGAGUGAACGAAUUGACAACAAAAACGCUUAAAAAUACGUAAAAUAUAUAGUGUUUUAUAUGUGAAAAAAAUAUAUAUUAUAUAGCCUGAAUUGGUUUUUCUAUUUUUUUGAUAAAUUGUAGGAUGAAUGGUUAUUUAUAUGAACCAUGAAACAAAAAUGUACCUUAAAUCAGAUAAUGCAUAAAUUGAAUAAUUAUAAUUUAUAAUGAAAUAAAUAUUGAAAAAUAGCCCCAGGUCUGUAGUACAAUAUUUCACUCCGUUCUCUUCAAUUAUUAUCUGGGUAAAGUAAGUAAAAUAAUAAAAAAAUAUAAAAAAAUAUAAAAAAAUAUAAUUAAAAAUAUAUAUUAUUUUCAUCAAAAUAAAAAUGUCAAAAUCCAUUUAUAGAUCGAGAUGAAAUAGGCUCAGAUCUGUGAAUAGAGAUGAGGCGUGAGGAAGCGAACCCGCCAUGGCUGCCAACAACCGGUUGCAAAGUGGGCCCACUUGCCUUCCGGGUUGCCCCGCCAAGAUACGGGUCGGACUAUCCUCGGUGCCCCACCCUUUUCUCCCAGCAAAAAAAUACUCGUAUCGUCACAGCCUUCUCAGAUCCGGUCACACAAGUUCCAACACACACACACAAACAGAGGCAAUAUUUUCAAGGGUGCAAAGUGUAAUUAACCGAAAUUUAAAGGAGGUUUAGAUGCAAUUUUUCCCAAGGGCUGUUUGUUGGUUGGAAAGAAAGAAAUCACGGGUAGAAUCAGAAGGGGGGCAACCACCCUUUGAAUAAAUCCCAAAAUCCCUCUGAUGCCUCAUUCUUUUCAGCUUGGGAGAAAAUAUUAU